UACGUAGGGUGCAAGCGUUGUCCGGAAUUAUUGGGCGUAAAGAGCUCGUAGGCGGUGUGUCGCGUCGGCCGUGAAAACCUGCAGCUUAACUGUGGGCGUGCGGUCGAUACGGGGCAUCACUGGAGUUCGGCAGGGGAGACUGGAAUUCCUGGUGUAGCGGUGAAAUGCGCAGAGUAUCAGGAGGAACACCGGUGGCGAAGGCGGCACUCUGGGCCGGUACUGACGCUGAGGAGCGAAAGCGUGGGGAGCGAACAGG
rnacentral:rRNA from 1 species